rnacentral:rRNA from 1 species
GUUGUAUGGUUAAGUGACUAAGCGUACACGGUGGAUGCCUUGGCAGUCAGAGGCGAUGAAGGACGUAGUAACUUGCGAUAAGCGUAGAUGAGGCAGUAACAGCCACUUGAGUCUACGAUUUCCGAAUGGGGAAACCCACUGGCAUAAGCCAGUAUCAUUGAGUGAAUACAUAGCUCAAUGAAGCGAACCGGGAGAACUGAAACAUCUAAGUACCCCGAGGAAAAGAAAUCAACCGAGAUUCCGAAAGUAGCGGCGAGC